AAGCUGUGCUUGCAUCAUGUUUGGAAACUGUCGUACUGCGCGAAGCUUUGCAGCUUCCCUCCUUAAAGGCAGUGAGAUGGCAAACCCACUGGGAGGAAUGAGAAACUCCAGGCGCACCACCUUAAGAGCUCGUGACACUCACUACAAAGGUCUGCAGCCACUCCUGAAGCAAGCGAGACCACAAACCCACCAGCAGAAAGAAACUGAACACGUCCAAACAUCUGAAGGAACUAGCUCCAGACACACCAUCUUUAAAAACUGUCACACUCACUGUGAAGGUCUGCGGCUUUAUUCUUUUAGUCAGUGAGACCAAUUCCAGACACAAGACCAUCUCAUCUCAAGAGACCAGGACGUCCGGGCACCCCUAGAAUGUAGCUGCUGGCAGAGCCUGAAGUCUAUCCAGCUCAUGCUCUUCCCUGAUAUCCUUGACAGAUUGUGGGAUGGUUCAGCCUCUGCAAGGACAUGGCCAAUGAUGGGGGGCUGGUUUUGGGGGCAGCACUCUAGGCAAGGGAAGAAAUAAAGUGUCUGGGAACUGGCGUGGUGAAGGGGCACUUUGUGGAGAAGAUGUGUUCACAUUUGGAUGUGUCGAGGGUGGAAUGAUAUGAGGAAAGUCAAAGGGUGCCCACCCCCAGAGCCUAGGUGUGGGCACAGCACUGCACCACGCCUUAGGGGAGAUUGGACUCUGGGCAGAGAUCCCAAGAGAAGCAGGAGUUGGAGUCUUGGGGGCCAGUGUGAUAGGGAACUAACUUUACUUUAAAGCCAAUUUGUCAGUAAGAAAAAACGAGGUGCACCUUGUAGGAGAAAAAGUCACAAGCUUGGUGUGCUUGAAGUCACAAGCCUUGCUGUGCUUGGUGAGAGGGAUCCCGAGUGUACUUGAGGCACUCUCCUGUUUAAAAGGGGAACGGUGGUUUUCUUUUCUCAGUGUAGGUUAGUGUAAAAAAUCUGCUUUGUAAUUGCAUAAGGUCUCAGCACAAACAAAAUCACAGAAAAUGUGAAAUGUAUUAUAACAGUCAACUUGCUUAGAAUGUAGUUGAACCUGCAUGCAGUAUUGAGACACCAGACAACUGUUUUCAGUCUCCACAUUUCUUUCAUUUCCUUUAUGAAAGUUACAUUAAGAAAAAAAAUAACUCCCUUGAGUAUUCUGAUAUUUUCGGUGAGUGAAACAGUAAUCUCAGCAAAGUUCAAUCUUGGUAUCAGACAGAAUUUCAGGUUGUUUCAUCUAAUUGCCACUUAAUACCAAAGACAUGAUGUUUAUUAGCAUGUAUUUCUAAUGAGAAACUAUUAUAGUCGUCCUCAAUUGUCUGAAAUAUGAAGCGGAAAAAGAAAAUUAUGAGCCCCAGAUACCAGACCAGUUGCUGAUCAGAUAGAAUAUCGUGGUUCCAGCAUAUUAUGAAAUAAAAAUUCAAAGACUGAAUACCAUGCAAAAGGUCAAUAUUCGGCAGCAUCUGAGAAGUCAUACAUCUAGAUAGACCUAAACUAUAAGUGCAGAAGUGCUACAGUAAACUAUAUGGGCUUUCUACUAAGUACUGGCUAAUUUUAAAACAUACUGAAAUUUAUGUACAUUAGUCUUUGUUAUAAGAAUUGAGAAUCCGCAUUGUAUUAUAAAGUUGAUCUACAACAGUCACUUUAUUAUAAAAUAUUUUCGGCCUGGCGCGUUGGCUCACACCUGUAAUCCCAGCACUUUGUGAGGCCGAGGCAGGCAGAUCACCUGAGGUUGGGAGUUCAAGACCAGCCUGACCAACAUGGAGAAAACCCCAUCUCUACUAAAAAUACAAAAUUAGCCGGGCGUGGAGGCAGGUGCCUGUAAUCCCAGCUACUCCGGAGGCUGAGGCAAGAGAAUCGCUUGAACCUGGGAGGCGGAGGUUGCAGUGAGCCAAGAUCUCACCAUUGCACUCCAGCCUGGGCAACAAGAGUGAAACUCCAUCUCAAAAAAAAAAAAAAAAAAAAAUUCACCAGAAGGAAAGUGCUUACCUAUUUGAACAACUCUGUACGGGUCUAUACAGUAUUCCAAGGCUCUUCAAUAAGCACAUGGUGAUGACCCAGGUCAGUCGUGGCAAGGUUGGGGAAUUAGAACAAACCUCUGUGGCAAACACAGAUUAUAGCUUGAAGUGAGCAUCACGGAUUUCUACAACAAACACUCUGACAAAUAUUUCCUGUGAUAAACAUCCACGUUCUCGAGGUGGGACAAUUAACCCAAACUUUCCAAAUUACAUAAAAACUUUUGCUCUAUCUAAUUAAGCUGAUAAAUUCAUUAUUUUAAAUGACAACAUACAAAAGAAGUAUAGAUUUUUACUUAAAACGUAUUGGAUAUGUGGGUAUUCUCUUGUCUUUCUAAGCAAAUGCUAAUAUCAGUUCAGUGCUUAACAAUGUCAGCAGCAACUGGGCCCUCUAAGUCUCCUGCUACUGAAGUUUGAGGGAUCAAGCCUCACCGUAAUUUUGACAAAGACUAAAUUCAAGAUGUCUGAGGCUUACAAUUUUCUUAUUCUACUUAAUGAGGUAGAGAAGUUCAUUUGGAAUUGAGCACUCCAUUAGACUGUUUCAGCUAAAUUUCAGGUGGCAUUUUCUAACAAUAAGAGCUGUUGAUGCUUUGGAAGGCAACAGGUUUGCUUCACUGGAAGUGAUGAUGGCCUUCCAGAAAGGGUGAGGCAAGGUUUUCUAAGAUCUCAUCCAACUAAAUGAUUCAGAAAGCGCCAGCCUGGGGAUUCCAGGUGCUUGUGACUCGGGGAUCUUUCUGCCAUCCCACCUCACCUGUUAGUCACCUUUUGAAAUUGGGUAUGAUUGAAAUGGAGUUUAGGGAAUGCUGUAAUAAUAUAUCUCUUGCUUGCCUAAUUCACAGAAACGUGCACAGGCAAACUGUGAUGCUAAGUGGGGGCUUUGAUCCUUUGAUGCCGGGCCCUCCUCCCACCCGGAGCCAUACCUAUUUCUCCCUUGCCCGUUCUCCUGCCUCUGCGUUCAGAUGUGCUUCAGGCCUGAGACAGGAGGAACCUAUCAAUGAAGGAGGAAAUGUUCCCCAGCUCCUCAAACACGAGGCCUCCUUCUGCAACUCAACUUUCUGCUCCCAGGACAGGAUAAUCUGAAGACCCCACCGCUUCACCUCAUCUGAAGACUCAGUUAAAGAGGAGCGGGCAGGCAGCUGGGGGAUUCAUUCUCUGGGAGUGGGAGCAGAAGGGAGCCCCUUGUCUUGUUUUUGUUCCUUCCCAGUUGACCCACAGCUGGAGUGCGGGCUGGGCAAGUAGGUGCUGGGCAACUUCUGGGGAGACUCAGGCCUCCUUAUUGGCCAUCACAAAGCCCCAGAGAAAAAGAUGCUUCCAAAAACUGCAAGAUAAGAGGAACAGGUAAAGGUCAUGGGAGGAUUAAGUAGAGCACAGCAGGCUGCUUCACGAACCCUCUGUGGCCUUCCCCAGGUGGGCCAGCAUGGCAGCUGCUAACAUUGAGUCUAGGCCAUCAGGCAAGGUGAAUUAGGGACAGUACCAGUGGGGAAAGUACCUCGGUGUAGCCCAUGCACUGUCUGCCACCCACCCAUGAAGUUCAACCUCUUCUAGUGCUCUUUUCUGUUUUCAUGGUCCUGGAGUGACUUGACCUCAUUUAGUCAUUCUAUGAUUAUCCCAUUUACAGGCAAGGAGCAUUUUUAUUGUUGUUAAUGCUCUUAACUCUAGCAAGCUAUGAAUUUAGGACGUGUCUGUGCCCUUUGGCAAACUUACUGUCUCCUUAGGAAUUUUGUGCCCGAUUUCUUUUGCUCUUCCAGACUGCUGCCCAUGCUCCUCUGCCCUGCCGAGCACUCUGGGAGAUGGACCUGGUUGGACACUAGAGCUCCACCCUGCAGCUUCCAGGUGGGCUCAGUAGAUGGAGAUCCUGGAGGAGACUGUAGAGCAGCUGCUGGCACAGUUGUCCUGGAGCUACCUGGGCCCAGAUGCCCCAGCUCUCUCCAUGCAGACCAUUCUACCUACCUCUCCUCUCAUACUGGGCUCUCCGUGUAGCAUGUGUUUUCUCCUGGGACCCUGAAGCACACAUCCAUUCUACUCAUGUAAAACAGACAGCUGCAUAAGAGAAAAUAAUAUAUUCACGUGUACAGCUGUUGGCAAGAAGUCUUCAGAGAUGGAGAAACCGAUGAAGAAUCUUGCUGCAAGAUCCCAACCUAUGCCAAGGGCCACUGCGAGAAGCCAGCAUGGACACGAAAUUCACACCCAGGGCAGCUCCUGUGUCUUCUGAGCCUUCUCAUGAGGGCUGCAAGCACAGUGGUCUGGUACUGCCUGCCUGUAAUGUUUUCUUUUAGAAUAGACCCUGUGUGUAGAUGAAAGAGCAUUCGACAUCAUUACUACGUGGGAUGCUGAGAACCAGGUGUUUUCUUCUCUGGGCAUAAGCUCCUGAGGCUCCCGAAAGUCUCAUCCUCCUGGGCCGAGGAUGCUGAAGGGAGCAGUGGGAUGGAAGGCGGGCCCAGAAAGCACACGGGCAGGCAGAAUCUGCUCUGCCCAGCUCCAGUGUCUUGUCUUUACUGUGCUCACCGUAUGUUUUCAGAAAGACAGGCCAAGAACAAAAGUGGGAGCCACCUAAAUGUCCAACCAUGAUGGUCCAUGAACACAGUGGAAUGUGCAAGAUAAUUGUGAAAAUUGUGCGGAAGUAUGGGGAACUGCUUAGGAUACACAGUUAAGUGAAUAAAGCAGCAUGUUAAGUGUUAUAUAUGCCAUGGUUACAAUUCCAAAAAUAUGUAUGUACAUAGGCAAAUUCUGGAAGAAUAAAACCAGAAGAAAAUGUUGUAUUAAAGUGAUAGCAUCAUGGAUGUAUAUAGAUAGCCUUUGAUGUCUUUGUUGGAAGAGGCCAUCCUUGCACCCUGUCCCUUGCUGAGCAUGCCACAACUGCAAGGCCCUGAGUGUCCCUUAGCUGGCCCAUUUCUCAGGUCCAGCUGAUAACUCUGAGAGGUGAGGUAACAUUGACCCCUCCCCAUGAUCCUCCAGGCAAACAGCAGGCUGGCUUCUGGCUUGCUGUAAGCACAGCGCCUUCUCCAAGCUCCACGCUUCACGCUGCACACACGGCAUUCAUCUGAGCCUGCUGUGUCACCUGUGAGGGAACUGGGACUGAGGGGAACUGACACAGAAGUGCGGCUGGACAUAACAUCCAGGAAACAGUAGCAGGUUGACUGAAUAGCUUCUAAGAAGGAUAAAAUCAAAUCCCAGAUGACAGUCUUAAUAAGGUUGCGAUACCAAUUUGAAAUUACAGUUGACUCUUAAACACCGGUUUGAACUGCGAGGGUCCACUUAGAGAUGGAUUUUUUUUUCCAAAAAAUACAGUCCGUGGGUUUUGUAUCCACAACCAAACACAGAUAGAAAAUAUAGUAUUCUCAGGAUUUAAAUCUGCCCGUACGGAAGCCUGGCUUUUCAUAACCUUCGGUCCCCAGGACUCACUAUGGGACUUGAGUAUGUGCAGAUUUUCAUGUCUUACCCAUGGCCCUGGAAGCAAUUUCCUACAGAUUCCCAGGGAUGACUGUAUUUGCCUAAUGUUUCUUUCCCAGCAGACUCAUGUCUGUCUUGUGCACUGCUGUGUUCCUGGCACCAUGGGGGAGCGUGGUGCAGAGCAAGUUUCCUCAGAUGGCCCUUUGUGGAUGGACUACAGGAGCAGAGAUGUGCAAGAAGCAAGUUUCAGAAGGAAUUCAAACCAAAAUGUAGAGUUUGAAGGCAACAGUGACCUUUGCAAUCAUACCUCCCUGUUAUUCAGUAACAAAGCCACCACCAUGUAUCAAGCACCCACAGGCCACACCUGUCUUCUGGACGAUUUUCGGGGCAUCAUAUUUCAAUGUUCUGUCCAUUUCCAGGCACAAAGUGCUUUCACUCACAUUCGGUCCUUGCUGCAACUGCAAGCCACUGAAGACAGGUGUGUCUGAUCCCAACGUGGAGCCCACAGUAACAGCAAGCAGCGACUGUUGCUUGUGCAGGAGGCCCUGUGUGCCACAUGUUGCUCUUCACUACUGAUCAGGGCUGUUUACGUGGGUCCCAUCACAGCUGCUCUGUGACUAGGGAACUUGACGUCUCCAUUUUUCAACUGAAAACACAGAAGUACAAAGGGGUUCACCACCUUGUCCACGGUUGCCCUGCUUCUAACUGGUCAUGUUGGAAUAAAAACAAGCAACUGUCAUCCGGGAUAUUAACCACGCAGGCUGUGGUGUUGCAAAGCAGGGGAGCACGGAGCAGGGAGCAUACCACCCUGCUGAGAUCAGCUCACUCACAAGUGGCAGGGCUAGGGCUGCAGUGCAGCUCACUUACGGGCACUGUGUAAGCCUGAAAGCAAAGUCCACAUCCAAAGGUCGUAGUGGCCCCAAAACAGCUUCCUGACCUGCUUCUGUGGUCCCAGACCUCUUGCUGCUGAGGUACCUUAGCUUUCCAAUUACUCUUGCCAAUUCUGCCUGCCCAGUACUGCUAAAAGGCCACUUCCCUCCGUCCCAUGGCCUCAAACACACUUCAGAGAGAAUUUCUGGGCACUUUCAGAAGGCUGGUCACUACAGCACAAAAGAAGUCAAAGUUAUCGCGUUAGUGCUCCCAAAUCUGAGGCACAGUUUGGAGAUGGGGGCUCUGAGUCAAGGGGCAGGCUGGGGACUGUUCCGGUGCCUGUGACUAUGGGACUGAGUCAGUCACAGCCCCUCUCAUUUUCACCAGUGAAGGACAUAAUGUAUACAGUGUUGCAUUUCCAAGACAAAGUGCCUUAAAUUGGCUUAGGUCAGCAGACUACAGAAGAAACAGGAUAUUCGAGGCCCCUGCUUGGAUAGCUGAUGCCUGCUUGUAGGCCUCCCCCUUUCCCCGCUUACCCCCCAUUAGUUGCCUUCACCAGAACCGAAGAAGUUUAGUCUAAAAUGAAAGCUUACUACUAGCCUGCAAAAUAGCUCCCUUUGUCUGUUCUUAUCAGCCAGCCCAGCUACUUAGGUCGUAAGUGAAAUACUUGAAGAGCCCCUGAGCUGACUAGGAUUGCAAUGCAUUGUGGGCUGUGACAAAAUGCAGCAAGACAACCCUAAAAACAAACAAACAAACAAAAACACCUAAAGCCCCUGCCUAACAAUCAAUAGGUGACGUCCAGGAAGGUUGUGACCCCAUAGUACUCAGCCUGUGGGAAACUGGGGGAGGAGCCUGCACACUAGUGGACAAAUUGCUUGUUGAAACUGCUGGGUGUGCCUGUCCGUCAGACACCCGAUUUUGCAAGACUGACUGUUUAUUAAAAAUCUCACUUUCGCUGUUC